GGCCGGAGAAGCUGAAGGAAGUAAGGAGGAGCCUGGUGGAGGAAAUGCUUCAGAGAAGAGGAAACGUGCACGAUGUCCUUUUCGCAUCCCAUGUGGCAAGACGAAACGUAGGGCUCAGGAUACACAAUAGCCUUCAUCCCUGAAAGAUUUGUUCAACAAGGCCCCCCUCAGGUGUCUCCAGAAGUCCUGGAAGAUGAUAAAUGGUGAUGACCACCACUCACAGAACUUCCAGAGCAAAUGUUCCACCUGACCAACCAUAUGGCUCUUCUGCUUGGUGUCACCAUGGCUCCUGUAGUCAUUAAGGCUGGGAGUUUCUUGAGAGCUGGCUUGGUGGUUCCAGCCACCCUGGGACCCAGCCCAGUGCCUGGAACAUAGAAGGAACCCAACAAAUGGGGUUGGUUGAAUGGAUGACCUCAUACCAUCUGACUGUUCCCAACCUUCUUUAAUUAUGAUCUUUGGUACCUCAAUUCUUUAUCUUAUUUAUUACUCUUUUUUGGACACUUUUUAAUACAGAACAUACACACAUUUGCCCAGGCUCACCCUCCCUCUCCCCUCCCCUCAAAUAUACACACUGGCUUUAUAUAUUUGCAACAGAACUUGACUACAGGAUUUAGCUGGGACACUCACACUUGUUGGGACAGUUCACAAAAACAGAAAAAAAGAUGAUGGAUGACUUUGUCCCAGCUCUUGCGCAUUUUAGCAGGAUGAAAUCUCUUGGUGGUGUCUGAUUUCAGAGCACACCUGUGGACCUAGUGACAGCCUGUGCUCCUGAGUAGGUUUGGGAAAGCACUUAUUUAUUAUAAAGCUAAAAUUAAACUACACGUUUUUACAUGUUGCAGAGCGGCCGCCGCUGAUGCAAAACUCUGUCAACACGGAACUUUUCACACCUUGGGUUCCAGCUUCAAUAGGACUCCCAGAUCAAAGGAGAAACUGACAAGUUCUAUGGCAGUGAGGUGACCGUCCUGCCCGGAGCAGCUGGGAAGCGCCCUGUUCUGGGAUGUGCAAGAACAUCCUGCUCACAGCAAAAAGACCCAGAUGAGCCCCUAUGAAACUGCUUCCUGACCCAGACUCUUCCCACUGCAACACUGCUGUUGAGAACAGCCCUCUGUGCACAGUGUCUCAUAGGAUCCACAUUUGCAGGGCAGGACAAAGACAUCUCUCAGUCCUUACCAUUACAGAGACAGCUCUGGUUUCCAAAGUGAGGUGGAAACUAGAAUGUAGGACCAGAUUUAAAAAAGAACAAGUGCUAAUUGAAAUGGAAAGCUAAAAGUUAAUAAGACCCUCACACCACAGAGGGGAUGAGCUCGAUGCGGGAAAGCCAUCAGUUGUAACGAGGCCUACCUGCUGUUAUGAUUACUGGUAUUAUUACUUUACAACCCUUUAGGCAUUUAGAUUUUAUAAGGUAUUUUUAUAUACAUGACUGUUGAUCUUUAAUCAAAAGUAGGUACUGUAAUCUUUUACAGAUGAGGAAACAGAAGCUUCUAGAAGUUACGUGAUCCUGUACAAGGGUAGCCACCUAGCAGACAGAUGAGCUGGGACGGAGAAAAUAAAUCUAGGGAUGCAUCACACACUUUUAUUACUGAUGAAAUGAAGGUAUUUGCUGAGAUAUCUUUACAAAGCACCUGACUGAAGAGGAGACUCAUAAGCAAUAUUGUGGGGCGCCUGGGUGGCUCAGUCAGUUUAAUGUCUGCCUUCA